CCCCUAGUAACUGCGAGUGAAGCGGGAAAAGCUCAAAUUUAAAAUCUGGCGGUCUUUGGCYGUCCGAGUUGUAGUCUGGAGAAGUGYUUUCCGCGCUGGACCGUGUAUAAGUCUCUUGGAACAGAGCGUCAUAGAGGGUGAGAAUCCCGUCUUUGACACGGACUACCAGUGCUUUGUGAUGCGCUCUCGAAGAGUCGAGUUGUUUGGGAAUGCAGCUCAAAAUGGGUGGUAAAUUCCAUCUAAAGCUAAAUAUUGGCGAGAGACCGAUAGCGAACAAGUACCGUGAGGGAAAGAUGAAAAGCACUUUGGAAAGAGAGUUAAACAGUACGUGAAAUUGCUGAAAGGGAAACGCUUGAAGUCAGUCGCGUCUGCCGGAACUCAGCCUUGCUUUUGCUUGGUGCAUUUUCUGGUAGACGGGCCAGCAUCGAUUUUGACCGUCGGARAAGGGCUGGAGAAAUGUGGCACCUUCGGGUGUGUUAUAGUCUCUGGUCGYAUACGGCGGUUGGGAUCGAGGAACGCAGCGCGCCGCAAGGCAGGGGUUCGCCCACUUUCGCGCUUAGGAUGCUGGCGUAAUGGCUUUAAACGACCCGUCUUGAAACACGGACCAAGGAGUCUAACAUGCCUGCGAGUGUUUGGGUGGUAAACCCGAGCGCGUAAUGAAAGUGAAAGUUGAGACCUCUGUCGUGGAGGGCAUCGACGCCCGGACCUGACGUUCUCUGAAGGAUCCGCGGUAGAGCAUGUAUGUUGGGACCCGAAAGAUGGUGAACUAUGCCUGAAUAGGGUGAAGCCAGAGGAAACUCUGGUGGAGGCUCGUAGCGAUUCUGACGUGCAAAUCGAUCGUCAAAUUUGGGUAUAGGGGCGAAAGACUAAUCGAACCAUC
rnacentral:rRNA from 1 species